GGUACUAUAGCCAAGUGGUUAAGCUGAUAGAUUAGAAGACUAUUACUCUCUGAGUGCGUAGGUUAAAGUCCUACUGAUGUCG